CAGCCUUCUUUUCCCGGAUUUGAAGGAUGCAUCGGCUGUAUCCUUCACGGCCCAACGUAUCCCAAGAUCCUUCACGGCCCAACGUAUCCCUCCCAAGAUUCAUUGCGCACUCAAUCAAUGGAGAUGGCGGAGAAUGGCGAUUUAAGUUCUGCAUUUAAAUGGAGCCAGCAGCAUACUGCUCGAUUUAUUCUAUUGAGGGGGGAGAAGGAUGAGCUGUUCACCGGGGUGAAAUACUCAGCAAGUGUGGCUUGGGGGUAAAGAAACAAUCGUUUAUUUAUAUCGUAAGUUAGUUUAUAAAAAUUAUUAUAGGCCAUUUAUAUAUCUUCAUUUGACCAUCUUUUAAAGGUUAGUUAAAUUAGCCCUCAUUAAACAGCAGGACGGAUACAACAUCCCCAGAAAUCGUUUAAUACGAUGUCCUAUUUUGGGUUAUUAAAGAAAGAAAGACAAAAAAAGUCACAUCUCGCAUCAGUACUAGACAGCACUAGAAAAACCCACAAAGAAAAAGGGUGUUUUGACUUCUAUUGGUUGUCUUAUUAUUAUUAUGGGCUUCAUAUAGGAUGAGGGCUAAUUUAAAUGUAACCUUUACAAGAUGGUCAAAUAUAUAUAUUAUAAAUGGCCUAUUGUUAACAUGGGCUAUUAACAUGAUUGAUAAAUGUGUCUCUUGUUUUCUCUGAUUAACAAUGUCUCUGUGUUUAGGACAAUUCUGGAGGAAAUAGGCCUGCAGGGGAAGGUGACUCUCCCGCAGGCAAAGAAAAACUUUUGCUGAAAUUUGUUUUGAUACUGCUCUUGUUAACUGCCAUGAUUGAUUUCCUCUGCCUUAGGAUUGCAAGUAUCCUGGGUCAGGAGAGGGGGUAGGUGGGAAACCCACUGCUGCCACUUGGCCCUGGUUUGUCCCCAUGGAUAAGGUAUUGGAUUGGGACAGAGGCAUUCCACCAACCCCCCUGUCCUAAUUGCAUCCAUCCCUGAGAACACACCAAGGCCAAGUGCAGCAAGUACAGCAGUGGUGGAUCAGGAGGUGGAGGACAAGGAUCAGGAGGAGGAAAGACAGCGAGGGCCAAGGUCCAGAAAGAGGGACAGAGAAGAAGACAUGUUCCAGAGUCGCUCACUAUCUUCCGAAAAGGACUCAAGAUUCACCUGUUCAGUGUCCACCUCGACUGCAUAGCCACCCUCCCCCUUCUGGCCACCAUUGUACACUGUGUUGUAUUGUAUUGUAUUGUAUUAUAGUACUUAACUGUGUAGCAACUGCAGUAGCUGCUAUCAUGGCAAUGUAUAUCAUCAAUGCUAUCAUCAAUGUACUUAUUGUAAGUCGCUUUGGAUAAAAGCGUCUGCUAAAUGCCCUAAAUGUAAAUGUAAAAUGUAAAUGUUCCAGUUAAUAAAAGAGGACAUGAGGCUACAAAGGGAGGCAGAGGAGAGGAAAGCCCAGGAAAGCAGGGAAAGAAUGGAUAGGUUUUUCUCAAUUUUGGAGCGUUUGGUGGACAAAUAACUUAUGUUCUGUUAUAUUUAACACUUUUUUUUUGUAUUGACUAAUGUAUUCGUAUAUAACUUAUAAAACAUAUAUACAACAAUAAAACUAUUUACAACAAACAUUCAUGUGACUAUUUACAACAAUUAUUAUAAAACUACUAUAUACAAAAACAUAAUGAUCAAUAAUGAUUGUUG
ensembl:lncRNA